ACCCCCUUCCCUGCUUUCCAUUGAAUUUACCGUCACGCAAUGUAACAAUUGCUUCAGCUUGUUAUUUGCUUGCCGGUGUACCGAAGACGCGCUCGUCCAUUCGUUUAAGUUUGUAGCUGCAAAGGCUACGAAAGUCAUUUCACUCACGAGAACGAACAUGGAAAAUAAGCUGGACAAGAAUCUGGAAAUGAAGUCUUUAUUAUGCAUAUGCUUCGUCGCAUUAUUUCUUCCUUGUGUAAACGCGGCCCUUCAGAACUGCACAGCACCCGUGUGCGAUCUGAAGACUUGCAAAAACACAUCGAGCAGUUGUUCACAGUUUUGCUAUACGAAGGAUUGCAAAAUGUCUUGUACUUCUAGCGCAGGUUGUUAUACUGAUUGCGUCAAUGGCGGUUGCUCAAAAUUGGCCUGCAAGAUUGAAAGCCCAUCUUCGCCCACCAGACACAAGCCUUGUCAACUAAUGUGCGACGAAAACUGCCCAGACAUUGAAUGCUUUGCUCAAUUUUGCUUCUCGAUAUGCAGAAAAUCUAACUGCAAAAUGACAUGUGACGGCGGGGAAGAAAAGGCUGAGUGUUAUCCAAAGUGCCAUGGUGGAGGCUGCAGCAUCAACGUUAAGUCAUACUAUACAGAGACGAGUUGCCUCAAAGGAUCAUGUACAGUGAAGUUCAGCAAGGCAACUAAAUGGGGCAGUGUCAAUUGUCCCGGCGGAAACUGCUCUCUUACUUGCGCCAAAGGAAACAUAUGCGUUAUACGAAGCCCUUGUCCCAAUUGUACUGGACCAGUUUAUGUUGACGACCCGUUUGCAAGUGGAACUUCUCAAGGAAGUAUUUUGACAAGUACCUUAAUCAUGUCUGCCAUCUGUGCAUUGAGUGUAUUUAUGCUUCUCGCAUAACUGUAUUGCACUUAGGUCACCAUCAUGCUUGUUUUAGCUAACCAUUUAUUAUAAGCCACCGAGUAUUGUUGUUACUUUUUCUGAUAUGGUGAAAUAAUAUUAAAUUUAAACUGCAUUCGAUAAACUGCAACAAGCUUUUGAAGCCAUCACGCCCUGUUAAAAUGGCAAUGCAAUGUUCGAAUAAGCUGGCGGUGGUGUCUUCGAAUGCAAACCUAGUUUGUCGAAACCUUAGUUGGCAAGUAAAUGCUAAGCACGACAAGGUUUCUUCAUCAAAUUGUAAUUCACAGACAUACAGCUUAAUUUGUAUUAUCUUGUAUCAUCGUGCUUUAUCGUG